UACGUAGGGGGCAAGCGUUGUUCGGAAUUACUGGGCGUAAAGGGCGCGUAGGCGGCACGGCAAGUCAGGAGUGAAAGCCCUGGGCUCAACCCCGGGAACUGCUUUUGAAACUGCCGAGCUAGAGUGCGGAAGGGGCAACUGGAAUUCCCAGUGUAGCGGUGAAAUGACGUAGAUAUUGGGAAGAACAUCUGAGGCGAAGGCGGGUUGCUGGGCCGACACUGACGCUGAGACGGCGAAAGCGU
rnacentral:rRNA from 1 species